rnacentral:rRNA from 1 species
GACACAGGGAGGUAGUGACAAGAAAAAAUCAAUACAGGGCAUAUGUCUUGUAAUUGGAAUGAUGCCGACUUAAACCCUCGGCAGAGUACCAAUUGGAGGGCAAGUCUGGUGCCAGCAGCCGCGGUAAUUCCAGCUCCAAUAGCGUAUAUUAAACUUGUUGCAGUUAAAAAGCUCGUAGUUGAAUUUGAGCUUGCGCGAUUCCGUUAUUGGAGUAUUGCGCUUGCUUUUUUGUUACUUUGAGAAAAUUAGAGUGUUUCAAGCAGACUUUUGUCUUGAAUACUUCAGCAUGGAAUAAUAGAGUAGGAACCCUUGGUUCUAUUUUGUUGGUUUUUGGAAGCCUUUGGGAAAUGGUUAAUAGUGAACGGGUGGAGCACAGCUCUAUUUAACUGUCAGAGGUGAAAUUCUUAG